rnacentral:misc_RNA from 1 species
CAAUUUUUGUCAGCAAAUUCUGUGUCCAAUACAGCAUUGAUACCAUCAGAGGCCAGCCGUCUUCUUGGUGACAUCCCUCGUGAUGACAUUGACGGUGUUGAAGGUCUGAUACUUUUUUCAGUAAUAUUUGUGCUCUUUGAUAUAAAUGCUAGACCAUCAGAGGUGAGCCGUCUUCUUGGUGAAGCCCCUCGUGUUGCAGCUGACACUGUUAAGGGUUUGUUACUGUUUUCAACAAGAUCAAUGCUCUUUGAUGUCACUUUGACACCAUCUGAGGCGAGCCGUCUUCUUGGUGAAACCCCUCGAGCUGCAGCUGACAUGGUGACAAGUUUGUUAUUGUUUUCAACAAGAUCCAUGCUCUUUGAAAUCACAUUGACACCAUCUGAG